GACGACUCUCGGCAACGGAUAUCUUGGCUCUCGCAUCGAUGAAGAACGCAGCAAAAUGCGAUACUUGGUGUGAAUUGCAGAAUCCCGUGAAUCAUCGAGUUUUUGAACGCAAGUUGCGCCCGAAGCCUUUCGGCCGAGGGCACGUCUGCCUGGGUGUCACGC
rnacentral:rRNA from 1 species